UACGUAGGGUGCGAGCGUUAAUCGGAAUUACUGGGCGUAAAGCGUGCGCAGGCGGCGCGUUAAGACAGGUGUGAAAGCCCCGAGCUUAACUUGGGAAUUGCGCUUGUGACUGGCGUGCUGGAGUGUGGCAGAGGGAGGUGGAAUUCCACGUGUAGCAGUGAAAUGCGUAGAUAUCAGGAGGAACACCGGUGGCGAAGGCGGGUCUCUGGGCCGAUACUGACGCUGAGGAGCGAAAGCGUGGGGAGCAAACAGG
rnacentral:rRNA from 1 species